rnacentral:rRNA from 1 species
UGGGGAAUAUUGGACAAUGGGCGAAAGCCUGAUCCAGCCAUGCCGCGUGUGUGAAGAAGGUCUUCGGAUUGUAAAGCACUUUAAGUUGGGAGGAAGGGCAGUAAGCGAAUACCUUGCUGUUUUGACGUUACCGACAGAAUAAGCACCGGCUAACUCUGUGCCAGCAGCCGCGGUAAUACAGAGGGUGCAAGCGUUAAUCGGAAUUACUGGGCGUAAAGCGCGCGUAGGUGGUUCGUUAAGUUGAAUGUGAAAGCCCCGGGCUCAACCUGGGAACUGCAUCCAAAACUGGCGAGCUAGAGUAGGGCAGGGGGGGGUGGAAUUUCCUGUGUAGCGGUGAAAUGCGUAGAGAUAGGAAGGAACACCAGUGGCGAAGGCGACCACCUGGGCUCAUACUGACACUGAGGUGCGAAAGCGUGGGGAGCAAACAGG